GACAUGAUCUUCUAAAUCAUAAUAAGGUUUCCCAUUCCACUAUUAGCUAUUGCCACCCAUCACUAGCGGACUUAGUGUUCAUGAGCUAGCUAUCUAUAACAGUUUUUCCUCAAAUAUCAUUUCAGCACAUGCUUAUCAUUUCAUUGAUGCCUGUAUUUUUUUUUCUUUUUUCAAUAUAAGUUGGAUUACUGAAUCCAGUAAGUUUGUAUAUAUGACCUCAUAGGGUUAAAAAAUGAA
rnacentral:misc_RNA from 1 species